rnacentral:rRNA from 1 species
CGUCUAUAUACGUAUAGCAUAUCAAUAAGCGGAGGAAAAGAACCUAACAAGGAUUCCCUUAGUAACGGCGAGUGAAGCGGGAAGAGCUCAAAUUUGAAAUCUUCAAGGUUCUACCCUGACGAAUUGUAGUUUAAAGAAGUGUUUUCUGUUAGAGGUAGUAGCAAAGUUCUUUGGAAUAGGGACAUCAUAGAGGGUGAGAAUCCCGUAUUUGGUUAUUCUUUCUAGCUUUGUGAUACACUUUCAAAGAGUCGGAUUGUUUGGGAAUGCAGUCCAAAAUGGGUGGUUAAUUUCAUCUAAAGCUAAAUAUUGGCGAGAGACCGAUAGCGAACAAGUACCGUGAGGGAAAGAUGAAAAGAACUUUGAAAAGAGAGUUAAACAGUACGUGAAAUUGUCAAAAGGGAAGCGUUUGACACCAGUGUUGUUUUUCCGAAAAUCAAUUAAGAGUGGCUUGAUUUUGUGUUGUAUUGACCUUAUCAGCUUUCUUCACUCUUUUUCGAGUCUUUCUUAAUGCACUUUUCGGUUAACAAGUCAACAUCAAUUUCUUUUGUUGUAAAAGGGUAUUUGGAAGGUGGCUUUCUUUUCGGAGAAAGUGUUUAUAGCCUUAUACCUCUACAAUCGGAGAGAUUGAGGUCUGCAGCGUAGAUCCUUCGGGGUUAGAUACACUUGUGCUAAGUUAUAGCCCUGUAUAGACAACUUGUUGACUAUACUCGGUCAUGUAGCUUACUCGCUUGUGCUAUUUUACCUACGCUUAGGAUGUUGAGUCAUCACACAUCUCU